rnacentral:rRNA from 1 species
AGAGUUUGAUCCUGGCUCAGGAUGAACGCUGGCGGCGUGCUUAACACAUGCAAGUCGAACGGAGAUUAUACGCAGAGGCGAUUUCGGUCAAAUCAUGUAAAAUCUUAGUGGCGGACGGGUGAGUAACGCGUGGGUAACCUGCCUUACACUGGGGGAUAACACUUAGAAAUAGGUGCUAAUACCGCAUAAGCGCACGAAGCCGCAUGGAUUUGUGUGAAAAACUCCGGUGGUGUAAGAUGGACCCGCGUCUGAUUAGCUUGUUGGCGGGGUAACGGCCCACCAAGGCGACGAUCAGUAGCCGGCCUGAGAGGGUGGACGGCCACAUUGGGACUGAGACACGGCCCAAACUCCUACGGGAGGCAGCAGUGGGGGAUAUUGGACAAUGGGGGGAACCCUGAUCCAGCGACGCCGCGUGAGUGAAGAAGUAUUUCGGUAUGUAAAGCUCUGUCAGCAGGGAAGAAAGAAAUGACGGUACCUGACCAAGAAGCCCCGGCUAACUACGUGCCAGCAGCCGCGGUAAUACGUAGGGGGCAAGCGUUAUCCGGAAUUACUGGGUGUAAAGGGAGCGUAGACGGUUAAGUAAGUCUGGAGUGAAAGGCCGGGGCCCAACCCCGGGACUGCUCUGGAAACUAUUCAACUUGAGUGCAGAAGAGGAGAGUGGAACUCCAUGAGUAGCGGUGGAAUGCGUAGAUAUAUGGAAGAACACCAGUGGCGAAGGCGGCUCUCUGGUCUGCAACUGACGCUGAGGCUCGAAAGCAUGGGUAGCGAACAAGAUUAGAUACCCUGGUAGUCCAUGCCGUAAACGAUGAGUGAUAAGUGUUGGGAGGUUUCCGCCUCUCAGUGAUGCAGAUAACGGCAUUCAGCAGUCGGCCAGGGGAGUACGACUGCAAGGUUAAAAACUCAAAGGAGAUUGACGGGGGCCCGCACAAGCGGUGGAGCUUGUGGUUUAUUUCGAAGCAACGCGAAGAACCUUACCGGGUCUUGACAUUCAGGGCAAGCAUAGAGAGAUUAGGUGUUCCGUUCGCGGAGGCUGAGACAGGUGGGGCAUGGCUGUCGUCAGUUGGUGUCGUGAGAUGUUGGUUUAAGUCCGGCAACGAGCGCAACCCUUGUCAUUAGUUGCCAUCAUUAAGUUGGGCACUCUAAUGAGACUGCCGGUGACAAACCGGAGGAAGGUGGGGAUGACGUCAAGUCAUCAUCCCCCUUAUGACGUGGGCUACACAGGUGCUACAAUGGACGGUACAACGAGAAGCGAACCUGCGAAGGCAAGCGGAUCUCUUAAAGCCGUUCUCAGUUCGGAGCGUAGGCUGCAACUCGCCUACACGAAGCGGGAAUCGCUAGUAAUCGCGGAUCA